rnacentral:rRNA from 1 species
AGAGUUUGAUCCUGGCUCAGAACGAACGCUUGCGGCGCGCCUAAUACAUACAAGUCGAACGACGUAGCAAUACGGAGUGGCGCACGGGUGAGUAACACGUGGAUAAUCUGCCCUCUACUGGGGAAUAACUAACCGAAAGGUUAGCUAACACCGCAUGAGACCACAGUGCCUGCGGGCACAGAGGUUAAAAAUUUAUUGGUAGAGGAUGAGUCUGCGCGGGAUUAGCUAGUUGGUGGGGUAAUGGCCUACCAAGGCAACGAUCCCUAGCUGGUCUGAGAGGAUGACCAGUCACACUGGAACUGGGACACGGUCCAGACUCCUACGGGAGGCAGCAGUAGGGAAUAUUGCGCAAUGGACSAAAGUCUGACSCAGCGWCGCCGCGUGAGUGAUGAAGGCCUUAGGGUCGUAAAGCUCUGUUGAAUGGGAAGAAAAAAAUGACGGUACCAUUCGAGGAAGGACCGGCUAACUUCSUGCCAGCAGCCGCGGUAAUACGAGGGGUCCUAGCGUUGUUCGGAAUCAUUGGGCGUAAAGGGUGUGUAGGUGGCUAUGUAAGUCAGGUGUGAAAGCCCCGGGCUCAACCCGGGAAGUGCAUCUGAUACUGCGUAGCUUGAGUACCGAAGAGGAUAGUGGAAUUCCAGGUGUAGUGGUGAAAUACGUAGAUAUCUGGAGGAACACCGGUGGCGAAGGYGGCUAUCUGGUCGAGUACUGACACUGAGACACGAAAGCAUGGGGAUCAAACAGGAUUAGAUACCCUGGUAGUCC